AGUGAACGCUGGCGGUAGGCCUAACACAUGCAAGUCGAACGGCAGCACAGUAAGAGCUUGCUCUUACGGGUGGCGAGUGGCGGACGGGUGAGGAAUACAUCGGAAUCUACUUUUUCGUGGGGGAUAACGUAGGGAAACUUACGCUAAUACCGCAUACGACCUACGGGUGAAAGCAGGGGAUCUUCGGACCUUGCGCGAUUGAAUGAGCCGAUGUCGGAUUAGCUAGUUGGCGGGGUAAAGGCCCACCAAGGCGACGAUCCGUAGCUGGUCUGAGAGGAUGAUCAGCAACACUGGAACUGAGACACGGUCCAGACUCCUACGGGAGGCAGCAGUGGGGAAUAUUGGACAAGGGGCGCAAGCCUGAUCCAGCCAUACCGCGUGGGUGAAGAAGGCCUUCGGGUUGUAAAGCCCUUUUGUUGGGAAAGAAAAGCAGCAGGUUAAUACCCCGCUGUUCUGACGGUACCCAAAGAAUAAGCACCGGCUAACUUCGU
rnacentral:rRNA from 1 species